GACGAACGCUGGCGGCGUGCUUAACACAUGCAAGUCGAACGGAAAGGCCCUGCUUGCAGGGUGCUCGAGUGGCGAACGGGUGAGUAACACGUGGGUGUUCUGCCCCUUACUUUGGGAUAAGCCUGGGAAACUGGGUCUAAUACUGGAUAGGACCAUGCUGUCGGUGGUGUGGUGGAAAGAUUAGUUUCGGUAAGGGAUGAGCUCGCGGCCUAUCAGCUUGUUGGUGGGGUAAUGGCCUACCAAGGCGUCGACGGGUAGCCGGCCUGAGAGGGUGGACGGCCACAUUGGGACUGAGAGACGGCCCAGACUCCUACGGGAGGCAGCAGUGGGGAAUAUUGCACAAUGGGCGCAAGCCUGAUGCAGCGACGCCGCGUGGGGGAUGACGGCCUUCGGGUUGUAAACUCCUUUCAGCCAUGACGAAGCCCUUGUGGUGACGGUAGUGGUAGAAGAAGCACCGGCUAACUACGUG
rnacentral:rRNA from 1 species